rnacentral:rRNA from 1 species
CCUACGGGUGGCAGCAGUGAGGAAUAUUGGUCAAUGGCCGGAAGGCUGAACCAGCCAUGCCGCGUGAAGGUCAGUGCCCUAUGGGCGUUAAACUUCUUUUGUGCGGGAGCAAUAAUGGUCACGUGUGGCCAGACGAGAGUACCGUACGAAUAAGCAUCGCCUAACUCCGUGCCAGCAGCCGCGGUAAUACGGGGGAUGCAAGCGUUAUCCGGAUUUAAUGGGUUUAAAGGGUGCGUAGACUGUGAGGUAAGUCAGCGGUGAAAUGCCCCCGCGCAAAGGGGUGAAGUGCCAUUGAUACUGGCUAGCUGGAAUGCGGAUGCCGUGGGAGGAAUGUGUGGUGUAGCGGUGAAAUGCAUAGAUAUCACACAGAACACCGAUUGCGAAGGCAUCUCACGGAUCCGCGAUUGACGCUGAUGCACGAAAGCGUGGGUAUCAAACAGGAUUAGAUACCCUUGUAGUC